UACGGGGGGGGCAAGCGUUGUUCGGAAUUACUGGGCGUAAAGGGCUCGUAGGCGGCCAACUAAGUCGGAUGUGAAAUCCCCAGGCUCAACCUGGGAACUGCAUCCGAUACUGGAUGGCUGGAGGUUGGGAAAGGGAUGCGGAAUUCCAGGUGUAGCGGUGAAAUGCGUAGAUAUCUGGAGGAACACCGGUGGCGAAGGCGGCAUCCUGGACCAAUUCUGACGCUGAGGAGCGAAAGCCAGGGGAGCAAACGGG
rnacentral:rRNA from 1 species